GACAGAGGGUGCGAACGUUGUUCGGAAUUACUGGGCGUAAAGCGUGCGCAGGCGGUUUUGUAAGUCUGUCGUGAAAGCCCCGGGCUCAACCUGGGAAUUGCGAUGGAGACUGCAAGGCUUGAAUCUGGCAGAGGGGGGUAGAAUUCCACGUGUAGCAGGUGAAAUGCGUAGAGAUGAUGGAGGAACACCGAUGGCGAAGGCAGCCCCCUGGGUCAAGAUUGACGCUCAUGCACGAAAGCGUGGGGAGCAAACAGG
rnacentral:rRNA from 1 species